CCUACGGGGGGCAGCAGUGGGGAAUAUUGCACAAUGGGCGCAAGCCUGAUGCAGCCAUGCCGCGUGUGUGAAGAAGGCCUUCGGGUUGUAAAGCACUUUCAGCGGGGAGGAAGGCGUUAAGGUUAAUAACCUUGGCGAUUGACGUUACCCGCAGAAGAAGCACCGGCUAACUCCGUGCCAGCAGCCGCGGUAAUACGGAGGGUGCAAGCGUUAAUCGGAAUUACUGGGCGUAAAGCGCACGCAGGCGGUCUGUCAAGUCGGAUGUGAAAUCCCCGGGCUCAACCUGGGAACUGCAUUCGAGACUGGCAGGCUAGAGUCUUGUAGAGGGGGGUAGAAUUCCAGGUGUAGCGGUGAAAUGCGUAGAGAUCUGGAGGAAUACCGGUGGCGAAGGCGGCCCCCUGGACAAAGACUGACGCUCAGGUGCGAAAGCGUGGGGAGCAAACAGGAUUAGAUACCCGGGUAGUC
rnacentral:rRNA from 1 species